rnacentral:rRNA from 1 species
CCCUUAGAUGUUCUGGGCCGCACGCGCGCUACACUGACGAAUUCAACGAGCUUUUACUAUAUUUGUAGUAAAUUCCUUUAUCGGAAGAUAUGGGUAAUCUUUAAAUGUUUGUCGUGAUGGGGCUAGAUUUUUGCAAUUAUUAAUCUCCAACGAGGAAUUCCUAGUAAACGCAAGUCAUCAGCUUGCAUUGAAUACGUCCCUGCCCUUUGUACACACCGCCCGUCGCUCCUACCGAUUGAGUGGUCCGGUGAGGCUUUGGGAUCUGAGCGGAAAGAGCGUUUCGCUGUUUCUGCCCGGAAAACUCAGUCGAACCUUAUCAUUUAGAGGAAGGAGAAGUCGUAACA